rnacentral:rRNA from 1 species
CGGCACACGCCACGGGGGGAGGUGGCAAAUGAGGAGGCCAGUAUAACAGCAUCACGAAUCCGCUUCGGGACGCGCUUAGUGAAAUGGUUGUGGCAGUAGUGUGUCAAGACGACUGCCUUGAGUAGCUGAGGAAGCACGGAGAUGACCUAGUUCUCAAGCUCCCUGCAGCAACUCGAUUUACACACGUCUUGAGCCUCCACGGCAUGUAAGCCAUGAACUAGCCAACUAAGCUCUUCUGCAAGCUGAUGUAGUUGGCGCAAUUCAAUUUCGAAGGCGAAAGCCAGAUGCUCCCUCUUUCUGCGACAGACCACAGUACCACCGUAGUUACCGUCUCUCCGGACCGUUCCAGCCACACAAUCAAGACGAAACUUCUAUUUAACCACCUUCUGCCGCCACUGCUGUGUACUCUCACGCAACCUGGCCAAACAUGAGGUUUGGGGCAUACACCGAGCAACCCCGGAGGUCAAAAUCUAUAUUCCGAAACCACACUACAGAUAAACCAUAAUCCGAGCCUGAUAGUCGUGGGGAAAUAGUUCACCAAACAUCAUCGCUGUCAACAACGAUUCUACCACCGAAACCUGUUUGACACCAUGAUGAAAUAUACCAGAAAUACUUAUUAAUUAUUUUACUGACGUACGUAGCGGGUCUACGUCACCGGCUCCAUUAGGAGGAAAGUAAAUUUUUUUUCUCGUUUCUGGAGCUCCGGCGGUUGGAACAGUGAAUAGCACACGGGUCGAAAAAGAGUGGUGUGUGGCGAAGGUAGCAACAGACUCGACCUGUCCACGUAACACCGUACGGGUCAGAGGUAAGGGUCUCUCACCGGGGAGCAAGAUGGGCUAUGAAAAACCAACCUUAGCCUGUAUCAGCGUAUCUAGAAACCUCAACCACACCCUGUACAGAGUCGCUAAAGCUA